rnacentral:misc_RNA from 1 species
GAUGAAGAACGUAGCGAAAUGCGAUAAGUAAUGUGAAUUGCAGAAUUCAGUGAAUCAUCGAAUCUUUGAACGCACAUUGCGCCCGCCAGUAUUCUGGCGAGCAUGCCUGUUCUAGCGUCAUUUCAACCAUCAAGCCCCAGGCUUGUGUUGGAGCCCUGCGGCUGCCGCAGCCUCCCAAAACCAGUGGCGGGCUCGCUAUCACACCGAGUGCAGUAGUUUACUCUUCGCUCAGGGCGUGUGGCGGGUGCUAGCCGUGAAACCCCCAACUUCUCAAGGUUGACCUCGGAUCAGGUAGGAAUACCCGCUGAACUUAAGCAUAUCAAUAAGCGGAGGA